CAAAGUGUAGCUUACAUUAAAGUAUCUGACUUACACUCAGAAGAAUUCAUACAAUUGAACACUUUGA
rnacentral:tRNA from 1 species